rnacentral:lncRNA from 1 species
GGUUUCUUUUUCUCAAACUCCAUUCAGAAAAGUGAUUUAGGUAACGAUACCUUAAUUAUUGAGGUAAAACUUGCAAACCUUAUUUAGACCUCAAGACCAAAUUAACGAAGGAGAAAAAAAGACAUAGAAGAGAGCGGGCCAAAGACUAAAUAAUUUGCAGGGUUUUUGAAUUUUAGCCGACACAUAAAUAUUUCUUACAACUUAAAGAGAAAAAGACAUCAUAUCCAUGGUAGAUGUGAAAGCUUAUGUGGUUUUCAGCAAAGUGUAUUCGGUGUGGGAGGUAGUACAAAAUAAAUAAGAAAAUAUCGUUAAAAUUAAGGAAAAACAACAUAUUUGAAACUGAUAUUACGUAUCUAACAAGGAAGACCAAUUAGGAAACAAAAAAAUAAAAAGAAGUGCGUGGAGUGAAAACAAAGAAGUAGUUUUGUUUGCAUUGGUCGAUUGAAUGUUAAAGUACAUCAUCUAUUUAUAGCAAACCACACUAGAUCUUGUUCACACAUAUAAAUAUAUUUGAACACCAAAAAAGCAUCACAAAUUUCUCACCAUACUCCAUCAUACUUUGUCUUCCACUCUUCUUCAGUUAUGUGAUUCACUCGGUAGAUAGAUCAUUCUCAUCAUAAACCAGAGUACUCCAAAGUUUAUCAUGUAUACUCCUAACAAAGAAUUAUUACCAAAAUCCACACACAAAAAACCACCGAAACAUAUAAUUAGACCUGCAAUUCUAAACCAUUCCGAAUCAGCUAAGCCAAACCAAGAUUUUUGGUUUUCGAUUCAAAUUCAGUUAUAAGUCCUGAACUGGUUGGAGUUAUUAUGAAAAAACUGGUUAUUAUUUUGGCUUGGUUUGAUAGUCACUUUUAGUUUGUUCUUAAAAAAUCACAACAAAAUGAUACUGGUUUUUAACAAACUAAACAUAGGCUUCCAUUGGUGACUCUUUGAUGAAUGGAAAAAAUGAAAACAUUACUAAACACAAUUUCAUUUGAAGAAUUGAUAAACAAAAAAAAAUUUGUUCAUUUUGUUCAGCAUCAAAAUUGGAAAGAAAAUUUUUUCUUCAUAAAUUCAUUUUUUUCAUGAGGAAUUAAAAGGAAUAGUGUGGGAUCCGGUUGUCAGUAAUUUUACUAAAAUUCAAUCUAAUUGGUAUAAAAUUUGAGGAACAAAAAAUUCACCAUAAUUUUUUUGGUAACCAAUUAGAGCCAUAAACUAUAUAGAAAUACUUCACAUGAAAUCUGAAUAAACAUAAUACAAUCAAAAUAAUUGUAUUGAACAAAAAUUAUCUAAUUUUUUGAAAAUUUUAAAAAAAAAAUCUAUUAAAAACCUAAAAAAAUAUGGUCAAAUUCGGUAAUUUUUUUAUAAAUUUAACGAAACAAAAACCAGACCAAAUUUUUGUUAGGUUCAAUAAGCCGUGUGACAUAUCAAAGAGCCGAUCCAUUGUUCUUUGUGGCGUCCUUCGAUCCAUUCCAUUCCUUGUCCGAAUCUUGAGAGAGACAUACGUCCAGCAAGAGCCGGAUCCAUACCUAUCUUCCUGUCCGACCUAGGCAUCUUGCUGAGAGAGACAUACGUCCAGCAGCAGAUCCCAUCCGCCAAUCUAUUCCUUUCUCUAUCUUUUGUUUUAGAUUUCAUUCAACCAAUUCCAUAAAAACCAAAAGAAUCAUAUCUAGUUUCUGUUCUUGUUCCUGUUGAAAACUCACUAAAGGUUCCUAUCUGUUUCAGGUUCGAACACAAGCAAGAGAUAAGCCGGCCAGUACCAUCCAUCCGUGGCAAGACUGAACCGCGGAACGACCAUCAGUCAGUCCGUCCGUCCGUUCGUUCGACCCUCCGACCCGUGCCUACAACAAUCCUAUUUUCUAAUUAGCAACUUAAAGUUUGCCCAAUUUUUAAGAUUUCCUCCUCUUAUCUAACCAAGUAUAUGAAAAAAAAAAUCAUUUAAUAUUUUUUGGUUUCUUUUUCUCAAACUCCAUUCAGAAAAGUGAUUUAGGUAACGAUACCUUAAUUAUUGAGGUAAAACUUGCAAACCUUAUUUAGACCUCAAGACCAAAUUAACGAAGGAGAAAAAAAGACAUAGAAGAGAGCGGGCCAAAGACUAAAUAAUUUGCAGGGUUUUUGAAUUUUAGCCGACACAUAAAUAUUUCUUACAACUUAAAGAGAAAAAGACAUCAUAUCCAUGGUAGAUGUGAAAGCUUAUGUGGUUUUCAGCAAAGUGUAUUCGGUGUGGGAGGUAGUACAAAAUAAAUAAGAAAAUAUCGUUAAAAUUAAGGAAAAACAACAUAUUUGAAACUGAUAUUACGUAUCUAACAAGGAAGACCAAUUAGGAAACAAAAAAAUAAAAAGAAGUGCGUGGAGUGAAAACAAAGAAGUAGUUUUGUUUGCAUUGGUCGAUUGAAUGUUAAAGUACAUCAUCUAUUUAUAGCAAACCACACUAGAUCUUGUUCACACAUA